ensembl:lncRNA
UGCCUUCCUUCCCCAGCAUACUAAUGCCUUGCCCAAUGAAUUUCCCAAGUUGUUAACAAAUGAGGUGCAGUAUAUUUAAUAAUAUUAACAUAUUGUUGCAAGGCUUAUUUAAUAACAGGUAGGAGGGAUGAGUUCUCAUGUCAGAAAAUGGAGGGCCUCAUGCCAUUUGGAGACCUGCUCAUUAUCCGUUCUUACAAUUUAAUGAUAUAUGUGUCUAUUACCGAGGAGAAGUAGAGGAUCUACUCAGGAACUCUGUGAGAUUGAUUGACUGGAAAAACGCAUAAAGGCUUAAACUAUCUUACAUCAUCUGCCAUGCAUACAGGACACUUUCUCUGCUAUGUGAAAAACUCUGAGCAACUGGAGACAGUGAAAAUAUGUAAAUGGGACUGGGCUGAUUUCAAGGAGAUGACAUGUGGGUUCUGAAUGUGUUCGGCAAACCAGGAAAUCACAUCCUUCCCAUUCCAGGAACCAGGACCUCAUGAGCGAACUUCGCUCUGGAGAAACCUAGUGAGACGUGAGAACAACUUGUGCAAUAAAAUCAGCGGGGAAUGGAUAUCAAAGUGUACAGCAACAUUAGCUGCAGUAGCUUCAGAAGAUAAAGAGUUAUGGUCAGAUUUUAGACUGCACAAAGUGGGAUUACAAGCCUCUUCUGGCAUUUCAACCAAAGAAGUCAAGAAGCAAAUGGCAAGACCAGCUAUUCAAAUACUGCCACCAAGACAAAAGGUGGAGGUUGGUCUAUUCUCCCAGAUCAUGUCCUGUGAUCUUGAGCCAGUUCUUUAUUUUUCAAAGCCUGGUUUCACAUGGUUACACUGGUGCUUUCUACACCUUCCUCCUAGCUUUUGCACAUCUGGCCAAACCAAACUGGAGUUGAAUCUGCAACUAAUCCCCAGGUCAUGGCGAAGUAUACUUUUUCUGUGUAAUUCAUACAAAGCACCCCUUCCUCUAUGCGCUGCUGUAGUACAAGUUAUCUUUAAAACACUAUAUACUUUGCAGAGUCUUUAUUCCAUGAUUAUGUGGCUACAUAUAUCACGAAAGUGAGUAGUCUGAAUAGGUCUCACUGUGUCCUGGCUAGUACAGAAUUUAUGUGAGUGCAAAGUUUACCUUUUCUGACACAAAAGAUCCCUGCAACCAAACACACGCUGUACCACAAAGAUGUGGCACAGUCCCUACACAACAGUCAGAUGCAGACAAAGGACAGCAAAUAGCUCCCAAGGUAAAUAGCAAGUGAGGGAGUGUUAUUACGAUUAUUACAACAAUCUAGCCAGCCUUGACCCCAGAAAAAAUGGACCAUGGGUAAUUGUGUUUUGUUCCAUAGCUGGAAAUUAAAUACACCACUUACAGAGCAGAAA